AGUGAACGCUGGCGGUAGGCCUAACACAUGCAAGUCGAACGGCAGCACAGUAAGGGCUUGCUCUUACGGGUGGCGAGUGGCGGACGGGUGAGGAAUACAUCGGAAUCUACUUUUUCGUGGGGGAUAACGUAGGGAAACUUACGCUAAUACCGCAUACGACCUACGGGUGAAAGCAGGGGAUCUUCGGACCUUGCGCGAUUGAAUGAGCCGAUGUCGGAUUAGCUAGUUGGCGGGGUAAAGGCCCACCAAGGCGACGAUCCGUAGCUGGUCUGAGAGGAUGAUCAGCCGCACUGGAACUGAGACACGGUCCAGACUCCUACGGGAGGCAGCAGUGGGGAAUAUUGGACAAUGGGCGCAAGCCUGAUCCAGCCAUACCGCGUGGGUGAAGAAGGCCUUCGGGUUGUAAAGCCCUUUUGUUGGGAAAGAAAAGCAGCAGGUUAAUACCCCGCUGUUCUGACGGUACCCAAAGAAUAAGCACCGGCUAACUUCGUG
rnacentral:rRNA from 1 species